rnacentral:lncRNA from 1 species
ACCCCUGCUGCCAGCACCCCGGCCACCACUCAGGAACCAGCGGUGGAAGCCAGCAAACCGGCUGCCCCCGCUCCGGAGGGUCCCUCCCAGCCACUGCCUGAGAACCAGCGACAGCUUGUGGAUACUUCAACACCCGAGCCCGGGGGGGACCCUGCUCCAGCCCUGCUGGCGUAAUAGUGAGGGGAUGCAGAGAGCUGCCAGCUGGUGUCCAUCUUGCCCGUAUCCCCAAGUUACCUCGUACUGCACAGAGACCCCAAACUCCACCCGGUCCCCCCUCUCCUCGCUGCUGAUCGAAGCCAAGAAUGUGAACCCCGAGGGGAGACUGAACACAAAUCUUUAAGUUUAAAAAGGAAAAAACUUUUUUUGAGGGGCUAGUCCCCCCCUCCCAUAGCUUCCUCGGUUCAAAGGGAAACUGGCUGUUGAGACUUGAGUUAAUUCCCUCCCUCCCCCCCUAAUUUUUCUGAAGAGCACUUUUUGUGAACGUUGUGUGCAGUUUGGGUGUCAGUAAAGGAAUUUGCACAGACUCCUGGUGUCGCCGGGUCUUUCCUGCCAUGCUGAGGGGGCGAAUGAGCCGCCUUUGGCAAAGCCACCAUAGUCUGUGGAUUGAGGUGGGACUCCUGGGUUUGAUCCCUGGCUGUGGGAGGAGUCUCUCUGGGCUGAGGGGUGGGGCCUAGUG